UGGAGCUUCCAGACUGGGAAGAAGAACCUGGCAAUUUCUGAAAAAAUUGGCCAUGAAAACCCGAUGAAUAGCAGCAAAGCAUUGGCUGAUACAGCACUGGAAGGUGAGAGGAUGGUGUAAAGAGACUGAGGAGGGCCCUGCUCUGCCGUACACAGGGUCACUAGAGUCAGAAUCGACUUGAAGGCACUAACAAGGACAGAGAUACAGCUAGGGGUGUGACGGAUAGGCUGGCCAGGAAUGAAAAGAACCAUGGUGUGAACAAGCCAAAGACGGCAGCAGCAGCAACAUCUCUGUACUGAACAUUUAUUCCUACCAGCUACUCCACUGGGCUUCAUGUACAUUCUAUCUUCUAAUUGUCACAACAAGAUGGAUUCUGAGAUUUGACAUGAAGAGUGUAUCUUAAAUGAAACAAUAAGCUAUUUGGUGAUGAAGCCUAUACGAUUAAGAAGCUGUAAGUAAUCCUCAAGUCAGUCUAGAGUUGGUUUUAAAACAUUUACCAGCACGUCAAUAGCAGAAACUCGGUUUGCUCAUUUUUCAAAUGAGGACAUAAUACAUUUUCUACUUCCAAGAUUUUUGUGAGGAUAAAGUGAGAUCAUGGAGCUCUCCAAUAAGCGUACCACAGCGUCACCCUCCUACGCUCCUCAAACUCCCUGUCCAAUAGUUUAAUCUCCAACCAUCAGAGUCACUCCUUGACCGCUGUCUCCAGAACCCCUUUGCACAAAGUCCCAUUUAAUACCUGGAGAGAAGAGACCUUGGAUAUCCUGUCUGGAGUGAUUGAUCCAUUGGCUCCACACACUUUUGAGAGGCCUUACAACCAAAAGCACACAGACUAACAUGAGAAGAUAUAAAAGAAAAUCAGGACCCAGAAGAACACCGAAACGUGAAUACGCCAACCAGAGGCUUGCUGGGCUGCUAAUCUGAUACCUCCUUCUGAACUCCUGAGUGAUGCGGAAAUGCAGUUGACCGCAGCCACCAAGAAGUUGCCUGCCCUUAUGGCUACGUGUCUUUUCAAUGACUUCAUAAACAACUUGGCAAAGAGUCUUGCCUGGACAUCCCCUCUGCUCUCAGUGACUCCAACUACCAUACCAGUUUUCGUUCAUUUCGUAUCCACAUUGUGCUCUUUAAAUAAAUAGUGACAAGAUGGAGAGGGGGGACUGAUCGGGAUGUUGGAGGUUGAGAAGUUUGGAAACACUAAUGAGGCAUCUUGGAGUUCUCAGGACAGAGGCUAUUGCCUUUCUAUAUCUACUGAA